rnacentral:rRNA from 1 species
CACUAUCGUUAACUGAAUACAUAGGUUAACGAGGCGAACCGGGGGAACUGAAACAUCUAAGUACCCCGAGGAAAAGAAAUCAACCGAGAUUCCCCCAGUAGCGGCGAGCGAACGGGGAGCAGCCCAGAGUCUGAAUCAGCUUGUGUGUUAGUGGAACGGUCUGGAAAGUCCGACGGUACAGGGUGAUAGUCCCGUACACCAAAAUGCACAGGUUGUGAACUCGAAGAGUAGGGCGGGACACGUGGUAUCCUGUCUGAAUAUGGGGGGACCAUCCUCCAAGGCUAAAUACUCCUGACUGACCGAUAGUGAACCAGUACCGUGAGGGAAAGGCGAAAAGAACCCCGGCGAGGGGAGUGAAAAAGAACCUGAAACCGUGUACGUACAAGCAGUGGGAGCACCCUUUAUGGUGUGACUGCGUACCUUUUGUAUAAUGGGUCAGCGACUUAUAUUCUGUAGCAAGGUUAACCGUAUAGGGGAGCCGCAGGGAAACCGAGUCUUAACUGGGCGUUAAGUUGCAGGGUAUAGACCCGAAACCCGGUGAUCUAGCCAUGGGCAGGUUGAAGGUUGGGUAACACUAACUGGAGGACCGAACCGACUAAUGUUGAAAAAUUAGCGGAUGACUUGUGGCUGGGGGUGAAAGGCCAAUCAAACCGGGAGAUAGCUGGUUCUCCCCGAAAGCUAUUUAGGUAGCGCCUCGUGAACUCAUCUUCGGGGGUAGAGCACUGUUUCGGCUAGGGGGUCAUCCCGACUUACCAACCCGAUGCAAACUACGAAUACCGAAGAAUGUUAUCACGGGAGACACACGGCGGGUGCUAACGUCCGUCGUGAAGAGGGAAACAACCCAGACCGCCAGCUAAGGUCCCAAAGUCACAGUUAAGUGGGAAACGAUGUGGGAAGGCACAGACAGCCAGGAUGUUGGCUUAGAAGCAGCCAUCAUUUAAAGAAAGCGUAAUAGCUCACUGGUCGAGUCGGCCUGCGCGGAAGAUGUAACGGGGCUAAACUGUGCACCGAAGCUGCGGCAGCGAACGUAUCACUUAAAACGAUUUCAGUGACGAUUGACGGAGCGAAGCGACGUCAAAGCGUUUACAAAGUCGAGUCGGUUUAAGGAUACGUUCGUUGGGUAGGGGAGCGUUCUGUAAGCCUGCGAAGGUGGCCUGUGAGGGUUGCUGGAGGUAUCAGAAGUGCGAAUGCUGACAUAAGUAACGAUAAUGCGGGUGAAAAGCCCGUACGCCGGAAGACCAAGGGUUCCUGUCCAACGUUAAUCGGGGCAGGGUGAGUCGACCCCUAAGGCGAGGCCGAAAGGCGUAGUCGAUGGGAAACAGGUUAAUAUUCCUGUACUUGGUGUUACUGCGAAGGGGGGACGGAGAAGGCUAUGUUAGCCGGGCGACGGUUGUCCCGGUUUAAGCAUGUAGGCGGAGGUUCCAGGUAAAUCCGGUACCUUUUAACGCUGAGGUGUGAUGACGAGGCACUACGGUGCUGAAGUAACAAAUGCCCUGCUUCCAGGAAAAGCCUCUAAGCAUCAGGUAACAUUAAAUCGUACCCCAAACCGACACAGGUGGUCAGGUAGAGAAUACCAAGGCGCUUGAGAGAACUCGGGUGAAGGAACUAGGCAAAAUGGUGCCGUAACUUCGGGAGAAGG